CUCAGUGUGGGUCUGAAGGUUGACGAUUGGUUGAGGGGAGAUGAAAGUCUGGAGGCUCGCGCUUCAGAGCCGUGUUGGUGUGUUUACACUCAGUACUCGAGACACAGACGAGCGGCAGCGUCAGGACUAUGGCGCUCCACAGAUAACAGUGGAGAUCUCACAACUAUGGCAUUAUAUUUAACGCUUACGGACAACUUUUUCUUCUCGUCUCAACAGGAAUAAAGCUGUCAAGUACUUUUGUUUUCCAUUUGUUCGCUGAAAUUGUAGCAGUUUUCAAACAGUGCCAGAGAAAACCCGUUCGCUGGUUCAGUGGAGUUGUGAAUGAGAUGAACUUUACGCAGGUUGUUGGCUAUUUUAUGUUUCACCACGGACGGGGCUGCAAUUUUGUGAAGUUUUAGGAGGAACCCGCCUCCACUUUUCCCACUAUUUGAAGUAUCCUUCGCAGAGGAUUCGGCGAGAUUCAUACAUCCGACUGGAGCGAGAGCACCUGGGGGCGUUUGGCAGUAGCGUGACCGGGUGAAGAUGCUCUCAGCGUGGAUACACCGCGAUCAUUCUCCCGCCUGCCUGCUCGGUUUAGCUCUACUCUGCACAGCCUUUGCGACCCAUGCAGAGCACCGAUGCUCCAGUGCCCUGGCUCAGUGGAAAUGAGUGGGAAAAGACACCGUGAAGGAGGGAAGAGCAGCUGAAGGAGACGAGAGAGAGGCAGGGGACGUCAUUACUUGUUAUCGUCAUAGCAGACACCAGGGCUCGUCAUGCUAGUCGCUGUGUCUCGGCAUCAGAAAAGAAAACAUCCAAGCCCAGAGCUCUGGACAUGUGACAGGACCAGUCUUUCUUUACCGCAGCUCCCAGUAACACACUGUCACUAUCUGUCCAUCACUGAAGUGCAGCUGUGAUUUCACACAACCUGCAUUUUACAGUGCAUCAAUCGGAAGGCUUUUUAUUUUUAUUUACACUGUCCAACAACAGUUUGUCUUAAGGCUGCAUGAUUAAUUGUAAUAAACCUGAAAUCACUUCAAAUUGCAAAGGCUGCAAUUUCAUUAAAUAUAUGCCCUGCAGGUUUCAGAGUGAAGUGCAGCACAGCAUUUACACACAUGCAGCUCAUGAUCCAGUGUUCCAUGAUCCUAGACUUCCUUGGUUCAGACAACCCAUGUGAUCUGACAAAUUUGAGAUUAAAGGGGGGGGGGGGGUGAAAUGCUAUUUCAUGCAUACUGAGUUUUUUACACUGUUAAAGAGUUGGAUUCCCAUGCUAAACAUGGACAAAGUUUCAAAAAUUAAGUUGUACGUUUGAAAGAAUAUUUUUGUUCCAAAAAUACUCCUUCCGGUUUGUCACAAGUUUCGGAAAGUUUUUCUGUGUGACGUUAGAUGGAGCGGAAUUUCCUUAUAUGGGUCCUAAGGGCACUUCUGCCGGAAGAGCGCGCGCUCCCGUAGAGCAGAGGAGCAGAGCAGAGACAUUCACUGAUCAGCGCGAGAGACCGAAUUGUCACAAAAGAAGUGUGUUUUUGGUUGCCAGGGCAAGACAACCCUGCACAGAUUACCAAAAAAACAGCAUUAAGGGACCAGUGGAUGGAGUUUAUUUUUACAGAGCAUCAACGGAGUUGUGCAAGUGUUUGGUUUGUUCCCUGCAUUUCGAAGAUGCUUGUUUUACAAACAAGGCCCAGUUUGACGCCUGAUUUGCACAUCGUUUAUUUCUUAAGGAUAAUGCAGCCCCAACGAAAAAGGGUCACGAUCGUGUGUUGGAACCGCAUGCCGUGAGUAAAUCUGCUUCAAAUAUCUCUGUGUUGUUAACAUAGCUAUCGGCGCGUAAGCACAUCAAGUAAACAACAUGCGAUGUUGUCAUCAAACUGCACUUUCCACAUGUACACCUAAAAAAAAAAAAAAAAAAAAAAAAAAAAAAAGACGACAUAAAGUGGAACUUAGUCAUUUUCCAAAACAGCUAAGCAAAUAUAUACAGUUUCAGUACAUACCAGAUAGAGACGUCCUUGCUGCUGCUGCUGCUGCUGCUCAUCUGGCUGUUUUUUUUUCCUCACGGUAAUGUCACAGCUUCCAAACGCUCUCAACGCAAAAGCCUACUGGCGCUCGUGAUUCUUUAGCUCCGCCCACACGUCACGCCUCCAGGCGCUCGUGUUUUUCCGGGAAAAAACGGUACAGACUAUCUUUCUCUUAUAAAUAUAAUAAAACUAAAGACUUUUUGGAGUUAUGGAGGAUGCAGUACUACUCUAUAGGUACUCAAGAUUAACAGGAUAUUGAGUGAAAACGAGCACCCCCCCCCCCCCCUUUAAUCUAUUCACUCCCUGUGUACAUUUUAAAUCUGAAUCUUGAAUUUCAACUACACUUGUUACAAUCUGGUGAUGCCAAAACAUGUUCACACACACACUCACUCAUGUCUGCAAAUAGCGAAUAUGCCGUCAGCAUGUCAGUCACUGUUUUUGAAUAAUUUAAAUCAGAGUGCUGAGUCACUAGACUGGGAAAACAACCAGUAAUGUAAGUGAGAGGCAUUAUAGCCUGUAAGAGCUUUUUUACUUUUAUUUUAAUGGAGAUUGAGGACAGGAAUGCUGUGCUGUCUACCUUCUAGGUGAGUGCAGGAGAAAAUGAAAGGUUAUGAGGGGGUUGAGGGUGAGAGGUUAAAUAAGUUAAAUCCACAAGAUGGCAUUGGCGGAGGUAAAAUAAAUCAGUAGAUAAGCGCAAAAAGCAAUGUAGAUAAAGGAUGUAAACAGCAUUAAGCUUCGCUAAUCUGAACACAAGACACAUUCACUUAACUAAAGCCAAUGUAGGGUCAGGAGAUUGAUGAAGUGCUCCAAUAUUGCUUCUUUCUCGCACACUCUCUAUUUGUUUUAUCUAUCUUUCAUCUUCUUUGGGUAAACUUUGGGCUUGUCUGUUAAUUUCACUCUCCGGCUCCAACUAUCUUUCUAUGUAUCUUUCCAUCUUAACUGUGUGUGUGUAGUGUUUCAGCAAGGAGCGCCAUUGGUGCUCUUCAUACCUGUUCUUGCCUGAGUGAGCACCAGGGGAACACUCUGAUGCAAGGAGACGCAAUGACAGAGCUAAGUGACGUCAAUCCCCCUGCUUGCACGCUCGUCCGGGUGUGUAUGUGUGAACUUCUAUGUGUGUCUGGCUGUUUACAGCCAAUAUAUCACAUCCCAUCCAUUCACGGGCAUCAGUGAUCAUGCCAGUCUUUCAGAAUCGGUUAUGUACGUGGGAUACGGGAAUGAUACAGCAUUGUGUCGGCUCGUCAGCGAGCUUCAGUGGGUUGUCUUUUCUUACAGCUGUGCAUCUGUGCAUACAUUGACAUGUAAGCAUGCAAGUCCAUUGCAAUGUGUCAACUGGUUGCCGGUUUUUCACAUCUCCACAUGUCUUCAUUAACAUGACGGGGGUGCAGCAUUGCUAAAGCAUUUGUCAAGAGAUGCCGAGCUGUCACAACAAAUUUCAUAAGGACAGCUCAGCACAGGAUACAACAACGGCCCAAUACACCCCUGGCUGCUUAAACUCAUCCAGGGAAUUGCAUUAAUACAUUGUCUCUUUAUUUUCCUCUUGCUUUCUUAUUCUGUCUCGACAGUUGCUUAAUCUUUCCUUGCUCCAGUCUUUCCCAUGGUUACUUAGACACGUAUUCGUUCCCUCCCUCUUCCUUGUUCUGUCCUCCUCCUCUUCAACAGAUUGCCUUAUUCUGUCUCCACUGUUCUCCUUUCUCCUUAGUUACUUGAACAGUCAACCUCUUUAUCAGUCUGGUCUCCAAACUAUGUUGUUUCAUUACAGGACUCCAACUUUCUUUUCUUUUUUGUUGAAGUAAGAAUUUUAGGAUUAGCCGCUGUACCAUCCUCAUGUUCUCAAGUGAUUUCUAGGGUUGCUGGGUAAAUUUCCCUUUCCUCCAUCUCAUGUUCUUUUCUGUCAGUCUAUUCUCUGUAUCUUUUUAGCAUCUUUCUCUUGAGUCCUGAUGUAAGUUUGCUGGCAGGUUCAUCUAGUUAUAUCCCUCUUUAGAGAACCCAGCACCAAUACAGCCUCACUAGCAUACUAGCUGCGUUUACGUGGACCCUACUAAUCCGAUCGUACUAGG